AGAACGAACGCUGGCGGCAGGCCUCAAACAUGCAAGUCUAGGGGGUGUAGCAAUACAUCACCGGCGGACGGGUGCGUAACACGUGGGAAUAUACCUUUUGGUUCGGAACAACGCAGGGAAACUUGCGCUAAUACCGAAUGUGCCCUUACGGGGAAAGAUUUAUCGCCAAAGGAUUAGCCCGCGUAGGAUUAGCUAGUUGGUGAGGUAAUGGCUCACCAAGGCUCCGAUCCUUAGCUGUUCUGAGAGGAAGAUCAGCCACACUGGGACUGAGACACGGCCCAGACUCCUACGGGAGGCAGCAGUUGGGAAUCUUGGACAAUGGGGGAAACCCUGAUCCAGCCAUGCCGCGUGAGUGAUGAAGGCCUUCGGGUUGUAAAACUCUUUCGACGGGGACGAUAAUGACGGUACCCGUAGAAGAAGCUCGGCUAACUUCGCGCCAGCAGCCGC
rnacentral:rRNA from 1 species